AAUCAGACCAUUAUUCUCCACAGCUGUCGUCACCCUGGAAAGGGCUGCAUGUCUGAACUAUCUACCACCAGAUAUCUAAAAAAAGGAGGGGGAAGAACAUUUAACUAGAGACUCUUGCAAAACUGCCUGUUCAGUGGAAAGUUGCCUGUUAUGAGAGAGAGAGAGAAAGCAGACGGUUACUGUCUAGGUUGGACUAGCAACAAUACGCUGCAGUGUACCCGCUUUCCCCAAAGGUGUUUCUGUUCAGGAUUUCAGGCUGCAGAAGCGGUUACUGAAGACAGAAAUGCAGUGACGUUCUAUGUAAAUAAAAUGGUUUUGCAAGCACAUGCUCACAGGACUUUUAGGGAAGCACAGCCACAGCCCUCUUCAACAGAAUACCAUCUUUGAUGAUACAUGGGGAGUUUCUUCCUUUCCUCCAGCCCUAUAGUAUUCAGGGAUAGGACCCUAAUUCUGUGAGAAAACACAGGUUUUGCAGGCAGAGGUUUCAGCUUCAGUCUUCCUCACUGGAAUCCUGGAGAGUCGCUGCCUGUUAGUUUAUGACAGCUUCUUGUUUCUAGGUAAAUUCUAGACCGUAACAUUUGAUUCAAGUCCCACAUCUUAAAAUGCUUUUAAAAAGCUAAAGGUUUUUUCUCUCAGAGCUUUCAGGAGGUCUGCCUUCUGCAAAUGCUCAUCUAAAUUUUCAGAAAUUUUAUAUAAAAUUAAACUGUACAGAAGACUUUUAUAAAAGUUGCACAGGAAGUUUGCUUGGCAUCUGUGUUGAUGCCUAUUGUUGUGUCUUUUUAUUUGUCCACAGCUACUUUUUUCCUGGUAUUUUAACUGAUGCUUCCCUUACACACACACACACACACACACACACACACACCCCUUUUAAUGACCAUCUUUUAUUGCACCCAUGUUUGAAAUUAGACUUCUGACUUAUCACACAUGGUUAUUUUUUACAUAUAUAGCUCUCUCGCUCAAGAGAGCGUGUUAUAGUAUUUAACUGUGUUUAUGAUGUACAGUAUAUGCUAUUUUGGAAUAUUAUUUCUUUCUUUGAAAAAUACCCUCUUGCUUCCAAGGUUUAUCCAAACCAAAGCUAGUACACUGAUAAUCUGAAAGCAGCCUAACUAAUCAGAUUUGCACAAGUACUCUAUGUGGCCAUCAUUCAAAGAGCUCAGUUUCACCUAAGGCCAUAAUAUCUUAAGAGCAUUGUUACUGUACCUCUCCUUUCAAUAAUGCCAGAAGUACGUGAAUCAAUGACAACUUGGUUCCCCUACAGUUUUAUAUUUUAAAAUUCCCAAACAUGUUCUCCCCUUAUUCCUGCUUCCCAUGUAUUCCCUAGUUUCCUAGCACCAGUUCUUUCAAAAGUGGAACAGAGUUUGCUCACAAACCCCCCCGCUCUAUGUCAUAAUCUAGUCUUGCCCAAGUUGUUAAGUGUUUAUAGCUAUUCUGACUUCUGUAAAGACUUCAUAUUAAAAAUUGGGAGGGGGGAAGAGAAAGAUCUCUAGGACUGAGAAGAUCAAUAGCAUUUUGCACACAUUAUCAUUCUGCUUACCCAAUAUGAAGUUACUUCAUGUGUGUGAAAUACUUAGCGCAAGGAGCAUUUCACUCUCCCUAGUGCAUCAUUGCAGAGCUCCCAUUUGGAAAGUAACCCGUUUAAGAAAUUAAGCUUAUGCACAUGGUUUUACACAAAAACCUUUCAAAGACAUCCAUGGUGCCAAACAAAAAAGGGCUCUUCGCCUAACAUAUUGUAAGCUUCCAGCAUAUAAAAUCGCAGUAGGCCACAAAGCCCUUAAGAAUAGGCCCAAAUAUUUUAAGGCCUGUUAUGAUUGAAGCAUUUUACAAGUGCAAACUGAACGCUAAGUGGGCAUUUCUAACUGUAAUGUGUGUUACACAAAGAUUUCUUCUGAAAACCACCACUUAAAACAUUCACCCUGCUUUAAGAAUGUGACAAGUAAUUAUUCUCAUAAUAAAAAAGGCUUAAGUAUCUCUGAA